GGGGUUGUGGCUCCGUGGUAGAGUGCUUGCCUAGCAUGCAUGAGGCACCAGGUUCCAUCCUCAGCACCU
rnacentral:tRNA from 1 species